UACGUAGGGUGCAAGCGUUGUCCGGAAUUAUUGGGCGUAAAGAGCUCGUAGGCGGUCUGUCGCGUCUGCUGUGAAAACUCGGGGCUUAACCCCGGGCCUGCAGUGGGUACGGGCAGACUAGAGUGCGGUAGGGGAGACUGGAAUUCCUGGUGUAGCGGUGAAAUGCGCAGAUAUCAGGAGGAACACCGAUGGCGAAGGCAGCACUCUGGGACGUGACUGACGCUGAGACGCGAAAGCGUGGGGAGCAAACAGG
rnacentral:rRNA from 1 species